UAGGGAAUCUUCCACAAUGGACGAAAGUCUGAUGGAGCAACGCCGCGUGAGUGAAGAAGGUUUUCGGAUCGUAAAGCUCUGUUGUUGGUGAAGAAGGAUAGAGGCAGUAACUGGUCUUUAUUUGACGGUAAUCAACCAGAAAGUCACGGCUAACUACGUGCCAGCAGCCGCGGUAAUACGUAGGUGGCAAGCGUUGUCCGGAUUUAUUGGGCGUAAAGCGAGCGCAGGCGGAAUGAUAAGUCUGAUGUGAAAGCCCACGGCUCAACCGUGGAACUGCAUCGGAAACUGUCAUUCUUGAGUGCAGAAGAGGAGAGUGGAACUCCAUGUGUAGCGGUGGAAUGCGUAGAUAUAUGGAAGAACACCAGUGGCGAAGGCGGCUCUCUGGUCUGCAACUGACGCUGAGGCUCGAAAGCAUGGGUAGCGAACAGGAUUAGAUACCCUGGUAGUCCAUGCCGUAAACGAUGAAUACUAAGUGUUGGAGGGUUUCCGCCCUUCAGUGCU
rnacentral:rRNA from 1 species